CGCCGGGCGUGCACGCCGCGGGCGCCGGGCUGACCUGGGCCCGCAGCCCUGUGCCCUGGAGCGCUGAUCCUGCACUUAGUAGGUGCCGGGCUGGCCCGGGCCCGAGCUCCCAGAAUUCUUGGCAGGCACAUAGUAGGUGUCAGGAGUAUUUCUGUUGCCUGGAACCUGAGCUCCGAGAGCUUAGUGCGCACAGUGGGUCUCAGGAACUGUUCCUCAGUUUAUGCUUGUGAUAUAACUCGGAUUCUGAAAACUGAUGCAAAUGUACCCUCGUCUCUGCUCUGCCAUGGGGGUUUAAUUUUCUCCUCACUGCAGCUUGAUUAGAACAAUUGGAUUUUACUGGACAGGGACUCCACUUGUGGCAUGGUGUUUUUGAGGUGCAAGGCUAAUGGGUCUGGAGGCAAGGAGCUCUGCUUGAGUGCUGUGAUUGUGAUUUAUUUCUAUACUUGGGAAAUACCUGCCAGUACUUAGUCCCAACCACUGUGGUACUGAAGCACGCCAGGACAGUUUGCACAUUCAGAGAGGCUGUUAGUGUGUGGAAAAGACCUUGCAUAAGCUGGAGGGAGGAUGCAUGCCUGGAAUUUGUACAGGAGCGGUGGAUUGCACCAGGACUUCCAUUGAGCUUCAUAUAGCCGGUUGCUUAGGCUAGUGACUCAGUGUCAGACUUUUCUUGAGUUAAUACAGGCUCAUGACAGAACUUGAAUUAGGAGCAAAAGUGCAGGAACCCAGAAUAAGGUCAGAUCUGAAGAUGCAAAGGAAUAGUGUAAGCUGGGCAUGGUGGCACAUGCCUGUACUUCCAGUGACUUGGGAGGCUGAGACAGGAGGGUCACAAGUUCAAAGCCAGCCUCAGCAACUUAAUGAGACCCUGUGUCCUCUGAAGCUUUUAUGGAGAAAGGUGAUUGUUUGGAUCAGUGCGUGAGCUUAGAAACAAGACAUGGAAAACCAGAAGUUAUUAUUGCUGCUGCACUUGACAUAGUUAACAGGCAUGUAAUUUAGGGAGAUGUCCUGGACCUGGUAUCCAUGAAUUUCAUUGAAGUUCAUAUACAUUGUCGCCUUUUUGGAUUGUGGGGAGUGAUGCUGGCAGAUGUAACAGGUAUGUGUUAGGUAGCUGGGUAGCUGGUCAGAAUUUGUAUCAAUGAUUGGUGGUUUCUCAUUCCUUUUGCUGCUUUGCUUUGACAUUAUUUUGUUCAUUUUUUUUUUUUUUGGUUAAUAUGACUUAUGCCAAGAAUAAAGUGCAAGCUAGGCAUGAUGGUGCAUGCCUAUAACCCCAGAGACUCAGGGGGCCGAGGCAGGAGGAUUGCAAGUUCAAGGCCAGUUUUAACAACUUAGACCCUGUCUCAAAAUAAAAAACAAAAAGGGCUCUGGGUAUGGCUCAGUGGUAAAGUGCCCCAGGUUCGAAGCCCUCACCCCUCAAAGCAAGAAUAAUUUAAGGUGCAGUGUCUCUGCUACGGGAAGGGCUUGGUGGAGAGACAGUGUGAACUCCCAUUGACAAGCACCUGCACAUCCCAUCUCACCAGGUGGCAGCACUGUCCACUGGGUUUUCAGGCUCCAAAGCUAAGAGCAGUUGUUUCUCCUGUUCCCCACAGUACUUCCCACCCUAGCCUCGUAGCCUCUUUCUCAGAACUGUAUUUCCAGUCUGCUCCAUCCUUCCAUGUCUAAGGUGGAGCUUCUUACCAACCUCUGCUGGUUGUCUCCUUCUUGAAUCCAUCACAUGGCAGCCCGGAUGAUCUCUUCAGGUAUACCUUGACAGCCACACCCUGUUUAAAGCUCUUGAGUGGGCUCCUUGUCCCCUUGAUAUAAACCCUGCACCCCCAAUUGACCUUGGAGCCCCAUACCCCUGUGGGAUCAUUAAGAAAGCACCAGGCUCAGCAGCAUGCCGCUGGGCCAUUGUCCAGGCCCGCUACUCUCCGGUGGGAUCUAGAAUUCCUUGUUCUAGCUGGAAGGCGAGAUGUAGACAUUGGCAGGUUUUGAUUGGUUAUGAUUUAACAUGCUGGGGUUUUGUUAAACUUGGGUAAUGUGUGUAGUACCUGAAUAUACAUUUACCUGCAUUUAAAGUUUUCCUGAGAAAUCAAAAUUCACUAGUAGAAAAGCAGGUAUUUUAAAGGAGGUCACUGUAUCUCUUAGUGAGAGGGAAGAGAGCAGCACGAGGCAGGAAAAGAGAAUUCACACAGGUAGAAAUGCUGACAGGAUGGGUGUCCACUGCCCACCUGGGUUGCGGCCUGUAGUUAGAUCACAAGCUCCCCAGUACUGGGAGGACUGGUGUGUGAGUUUUCCAGUUGAUUAUCUUUGCUCUGGCUCAUCAUCACAGUAAACACUGGCGUUUUGGAAGACAGGUGUUUGUGUACAUGCUGGAGCUUCUGACGAGGGCCCUCUGGCACUGCUUUUUGUGAGUCUUUUAGGCUGAAAGACCUGUGUGGCCUGGGGUUGCACCUUGAGGUACUGUAACCAGCAGGUAAAAUCAGAUUUGUCUCUGUCUGUAUACCUGGCAUGGUGGAAACUGGGGUCUUGGGCUGUCAGCUCAAGAGGAGAGGGGACUGUGCUUGAUCAGGAGGGAGCCUGGAAUAGUAAUUGAAAAUCAGUCCUCCUUCUGCCACUGGUUGGUUGCAAGAUUUUGACCAAGUGGUUCAGUCUUUCUGGGGACUUAGUUUCUGAGCUAUACAAGAGCAGGGACCCUAUGACUCACCCUAUUUUGGGGGAUUAUUAUUCUGUGUUGCAUUUCAUUUCCACAUGAGUACCCACUUAGGAGCAGAGAUGUUCAAAGACAAAACAGGUGACAAAGUUCAGGUGGUGCUUAGGCUGCAAACCUCUCAGCGUUUUGGCCUCUGAGGUUCUCAUGGCAGCGGGUUUCACUUGGCUCCUGGAGAGAGUUAGCAGGAGAGGAAAGCAGGAAAUGCUGUUCUAAGGGAAUCCUGAGACAGAGGGCAGGAGCCCUGCUGCCUAAAAUUAGGAGCUCUUAGAGGUAUUGUUCUCGGGAGCUUCAGACACCCAAUUCGUUAGCUCUUCCCAUCUCUAGAUAUUUAUCAGGCGUUGGGCACGUGCUGCCUGCCAGGUCUGUGAAGGUCUGGAGAAACAGCGCUGAGGAGCAAGGACUAACAGUCAACUUUACCUGAUGAUGUCCUGCCCUGGGGGGUGGGAGGAGAUGAUGACAAUGCGGGACACUGAGGCAGGGCUCAGCUUGUACAAAGCCCUGGGUUCAAAUCCCAGCACUACAGAAGACAAGCAAAAGACUUUGGAAGCUGACCAGUCUGGGAGGAGGAGCAGAAAUGGAAAAAGAGAAAGUAGAAAGGAAUUAAGAAGAGAAGGAAUGGUAGAGCUCACCUGAAGUGACAGCGAUCUCCAGUAGCAAUGGUGACCCGAGACUCCUGGGCUUUCUUGGGGAUGGAGAACACUCGGGUGAGUGGGUGGUAGCACACCGCAGGGUCAGGCUGGUGUCCUGGAGGAAGGAUGGACUGUGGGACAGGGUAGGAGCCAGUGUAGUGUGUGGUGUCAGCAGAGAGAGGAAGGGAGCCGUGCUUUAGAAAACAUGUUCAAAACAAAGUCAACGUCGGCCAGUCUGGGGAUUAGCUUGGCUGCUUAGAAUUUGGAGCCAUUAUUUCUCAUUUUAACAUUAAGAACAUGUAAGGAUCUGUGGAUGACCGAGAUCUUAACUGCACAGAGUUUUUCUUGAGUUAAAUCCCAGCUGUGCUCUGAAUGUAGCAGGUUUGGUUGGAACAUGGCAUCAUAUCCCAAAGAGGCCAGUGUGGUGCCUUUAGGUUGGGAACAAGAGGCAGGGAUUCAGCCUGGUGGCCUGGCAUGGGGAGAAGAAGGAGUUGAAGGUAGCUUGCUAGGCCCAGGACCGUAGGAUGCUGCAGGAGGUGGCUGUGGCAUUAUGUGACUGAGGGUGGUCCUCGAGCAGCAAGUGAGCGUCUUGGAGAUGGACACUUUCUAAGUUAUUGGUGGGCUCAGGACCUGCUGCUUCAGGGAGCAUCAUCUCACGGUUCUUCCCGACUCCAAGAUACACUGUUUAAG
rnacentral:lncRNA from 1 species